UUCCAAGAUAAAUAUUUUCAUGAAGUAGCCAGAGUUCCAACUUUAUGCUUUAUAUUUCUACUGGUAUUAGGAAGGGUGAGUCAUAUUGCUUAGUUCCAAAAAUAUCUACAAGAUUGAAAUAACUUUACAAAUCAUAGAGCCCAUGUUUUUGAAACUCAAGAUUAUACUCUCACUCAUUUCCACAGCCAUCCUUGUGGCUUGUAGUUUCCAGAUUCAUUUAUUUUUUAAUCUUUAUUAUUUUCCUAUAAAUAAUGACAUAGAGCCAGAUCUAUGGAACUGACAGAAAAUAGAAGGUUUGCUUCACAUACUGAUGAGGUACUUUGCAUCCAAAGAAACUUCAUAUCAAAAACCAAUAGCUCUGGUGAUCACAGAUGCUCAUGUCAACAAGCCUCCAUUAUCUCACAUCCCUGAGUCACUCCAAGGGCAGAUUGAUCUAAUGAUCUACGUAGGACAUGUACACGAAAUGCAAACUUUCCAUUUGUCAAGCAAGCAAAAUUUUGAAGUUACUUUAUACUGCGGAAUUACUGACCCCACUGUGACUGUCAGAAUAACAACAUGUGUCUUCAUUCGUUUCUGUAAUAACUGUGCUACCCUACCUGAUAUCUUCUGAAUAAAAGGAUAUCUAAACACUUGGACUCUGUUACCAUCUUUCCUUCAAAAUACCAUGUUAUUGAUUCUGUAUUUUAAAUUCCUCUAUUUUAAAUAUACUGAUUUUAAUAGUCAAGGCUUAUUAACCAUUAUCCAUAUGUCC
rnacentral:lncRNA from 1 species